rnacentral:miRNA from 1 species
CUGGGGGAUUGGGUGCCUUCU